UGACCAUGAAGCCAACUCGCGUAAAGAGCACCAACACAACCUUCAGCUGGUUUCUUAUUCAAGAACUGAAAGAGAAUUUGAAAAUGUUUCUUUUCCAAUAGUUCUGACUGUUUUCCUCAGUGCCUCGCUCUGGGUCUAAUGUGAAUUAAGCCUGGUCUCCAUCCUGUCAUUAUAAUCGGUAGCUAGCCACUGAAAAGUUCGGUAACCGCUCAAAACGGUUUAUUCUCUGCUCUUUCUCUUCAUCAUCGGCUGUGGCGCUGAUUUAGCUCAAAUUAAGAGGGGUCGAGGACUCGAUUCCAGCGGCGCCGGGCGUUAAUGAGCCUCAGCUGUCGCGGUGAUUCUGACGGUGAUUUUCCAGAAUGCUCUGCCGGCCGAGUCCGAGGUGAGCUUCGACAAAACAAGCGUAGAGCUGCAGCUGGGUCUCAUGGGGCCAAUGCAGAGCGGUGCCGGGGACACGGCGGUCCACGAGGUCACGCUUUUCACAGAUCUCCCCCAGCAGGCGGACAUCCGCAUCACACAGAGUGUAAGACCUCCCUCUUUCACACACAAACACACUCAUACACAUUCAGAUUCAGGCCCCAGUUCUGGA
ensembl:lncRNA